GGUUCGAUGGCGUAGUUGGUUAUCGCAUCUGUCUAACAUAAGAGUUUAAGACUCCAUCAUGAUCAGUUACACAGAAGGUCCCCGGUUCGAGCCCGGGUCGAAUCA